rnacentral:rRNA from 1 species
UACGUAGGGCGCAAGCGUUAUCCGGAAUUAUUGGGCGUAAAGAGCUCGUAGGCGGUUUGUCGCGUCUGCCGUGAAAGUCCGGGGCUCAACUCCGGAUCUGCGGUGGGUACGGGCAGACUAGAGUGAUGUAGGGGAGACUGGAAUUCCUGGUGUAGCGGUGAAAUGCGCAGAUAUCAGGAGGAACACCGGUGGCGAAGGCGGCUUUCUGGGGCUGUCCUGACGCUGAGGCGCGAAAGCUGGGGGAGCGAACAGG